rnacentral:misc_RNA from 1 species
GAUGAAGAACGUAGCGAAAUGCGAUACGUAAUGUGAAUUGCAGAAUUCAGUGAAUCAUCGAAUCUUUGAACGCAUAUUGCGCUCUCUGGUAUUCCGGAGAGCAUGCUUGUUUGAGUAUCAGUAAACACCUCAACUUCCAUAUCUUUUUUGAAAUGGGAGUUGGACUUGAGAGAUCCCAACGCUUUUCCUCACCGAAAAGUGGCGGGUUACUUGAAAUGCAGGUGCAGCUGGACUUUUCUCUGAGCUAUAAGCAUAUCUAUUUAGUCUGCCUAAAAAACAGAUUAUUACCUUUGCUGCAGCUAACAUAAAGGAGAUUAGUUCUUGUGCUGACUGAUGCAGGAUUCACAAAGACAGGCUUCGGCCGACUUUGUAAACUCGAUCUCAAAUCAAGUAAGACUACCCGCUGAACUUAAGCAUAUCAAUAAGCGGAGGA